rnacentral:rRNA from 1 species
UACGAAGGGGGGCUAGCGUUGUUCGGAUUUACUGGGCGUAAAGCGCACGUAGGCGGAUUGGUCAGUUAGGGGUGAAAUCCUGGAGCUCAACUCCAGAACUGCCCUUAAUACUGCCAGUCUCGAGUCCGGAAGAGGUAAGUGGAACUCCUAGUGUAGAGGUGGAAUUCGUAGAUAUUAGGAAGAACACCAGUGGCGAAGGCGGCUUACUGGUCCGGUACUGACGCUGAGGUGCGAAAGCGUGGGGAGCAAACAGG